GAUGAACGCUAGCGGCAGGCUUAAUACAUGCAAGUCAAGGGGGUAGCAAUACAACCGGCGCACGGGUGAGUAACGCGUACACAACAUGCCAUAUACUGGGGUAUAGCUUUGGGAAACUGGAGGUAAUCCCCCAUAACAUUGCGAGAGGGCAUCUGAUUGCAAUUAAAGUUUCGGCGGUAUAUGAUUGGUGUGCGUUUGAUUAGCUAGUUGGUAGGGUAACGGCCUACCAAGGCGACGAUCAAUAGCUGGCGUGAGAGCGCGACCAGCCACACUGGAACUGAGACACGGUCCAGACUCCUACGGGAGGCAGCAGUAGGGAAUAUUGGACAAUGGAGGAAACUCUGAUCCAGCCAUGCCGCGUGAUAGAUGAAGGCCCUCUGGGUUGUAAAUAUCUUUUAUCUGGGAAGAAACUCCUCUAUUCUUAGAGGCCUGACGGUACCAGAGGAAUAAGCAACCGGCUAACUCCGUGCCAGCAG
rnacentral:rRNA from 1 species